CAUUAUAAGAUAAAUAAGCCUAAGGACGUAAAGUUGAUAUUUUUUACUGUAAGAGCGGCAGUGACAGUGACAGUGACAGCAGUGACAGUGACAGUGAUGAUUGCAAUUGUCGGCAUCUGGCCGCGUUGCGAACGACGGCCCAGAUCGGCGGAUGUCACCGCCCGCGGCUAUCAGAGGUCAUCGCCGGGGUCAAUCUGUUCGGCGGGCCGGUCUAGCUGCCAGGGGCCGAUUGCCGCCGGCGCCGCCCCGUCCGCCACCCGGCGAGGCAGCACUCAUCAAUCGAAUCCGGCCCGAGGCACCCCCCCCCCCUUCCCGAGCUACGUGGCUGGUCGACUUUCAUCUGAAUGCCCCCUCACUUACGAAGAACACUUUUGUGCUCAUGGUAUGUUUUGUCUAUGAAUAUCUCAAUAAAAUACAAAGUACGGCUCCGA